rnacentral:rRNA from 1 species
UACGUAGGGUGCAGGCGUUAAUCGGAAUUACUGGGCGUAAAGCGUGCGCAGGCGGUUUCUUAAGUCAGAUGUGAAAGCCCCGGGCUUAACCUGGGAACUGCGUUUGAAACUGGGAGACUUGAGUGUGGCAGAGGGGGGUGGAAUUCCACGUGUAGCAGUGAAAUGCGUAGAUAUGUGGAGGAACACCGAUGGCGAAGGCAGCACCGUGGGUUAACACUGACGCUCAUGCACGAAAGCGUGGGGAGCAAACAGG